GACGAACGCUGGCGGCGUGCCUAACACGUGCAAGUCGAACGAGAAUCUAUUAAUUGAUUCCUUCGGGAUGAAGUUGAUAGAGGAAAGUGGCGGACGGGCGAGUAACGCGUGAGUAACCUGCCCAUAAGAGGGGGAUAAUCCAUGGAAACGUGGACUAAUACCGCAUAUUGAAUAUUGUUGCAUGACAGAUAUUUGAAAGAUUUAUCGCUUAUGGAUGGACUCGCGUCAGAUUAGCUAGUUGGUGAGGUAACGGCUCACCAAGGCGACGAUCUGUAGCCGAACUGAGAGGUUGAUCGGCCGCAUUGGGACUGAGACACGGCCCAGACUCCUACGGGAGGCAGCAGUGGGGAAUAUUGCACAAUGGGCGAAAGCCUGAUGCAGCAACGCCGCGUGAGGGAAGACGGGCCUUCGGGUUGGUAAACUUCUUUGUUCAGGGACGAAUAAAUGACGGUACCUGACGAAUAAGCCAC
rnacentral:rRNA from 1 species